GACGAACGCUGGCGGCGUGCCUAACACAUGCAAGUCGAACGAUAAAAGCACGUUUUGGUGUGUAUCACGUGGGGAGAAGGGGUGAAUAACACGUGAGUCCCGCCCCCCUCACUGGGAGAGAACCUCAGAACAGUGGAUCUAAUCGAAUACAUGAGCUCUUGCUCCUGGAUGGGUCGAGGAAGGUCUCGGCGGUUGGGGAUGGACCCGCGGCUGAUGAGCUUGUUGGUGGGGUAGUGGCUUACCAAGGCUAUGAGGGGUAGCAGGGCUGAGAGGCUGACCGGCCAGAUUGGGACUGAGAUACGGCCCAGACUCCUACGGGAGGCAGCAGUGGGGAAUAUUGCACAAUGGGCGGAAGCCUGAUGCAGCAACGCCGCGUGCGGGAUGACGGCCUUCGGGUUGUAAACCGCUUUCGGCUGGGACGAAGCGAAAGUGACGGUACCGGGAGAAGAAGCCCCGGCUAACUACGUG
rnacentral:rRNA from 1 species